AUUGAACGCUGGCGGCAUGCCUUACACAUGCCAGUCGAACGGUAACGGGCCUUCGGGUGCCGACGAGUGGCGAACGGGUGAGUAAUACAUCGGAACGUGCCCGAUCGUGGGGGAUAACGAGGCGAAAGCUUUGCUAAUACCGCAUACGAUCUACGGAUGAAAGCAGGGGACCGCAAGGCCUUGCGCGGACGGAGCGGCCGAUGGCCGAUUAGGUAGUUGGUGGGAUAAAAGCUUACCAAGCCGACGAUCUGUAGCUGGUCUGAGAGGAUGAUCAGCCACACUGGGACUGAGACACGGCCCAGACUCCUGCGGGAGGCAGCAGUGGGGAAUUUUGGACAAUGGGCGCAAGCCUGAUCCAGCCAUGCCGCGUGCAGGAUGAAGGCCUUCGGGUUGUAAACUGCUUUUGUACGGAACGAAAAGCCUUCUUUUAAUACAGGAGGGUCAUGACGGUACCGUAAGAAUAAGCACCGGCUAACUACGUG
rnacentral:rRNA from 1 species